rnacentral:lncRNA from 1 species
UAAUGAAUCCGAACUCAGAACAAUCUUCCCCAUUGGCCAUCAAAGCAUUUUUUACCAUUUUUGCCUCCACUUCAUCAACAUCCGACCCAUUGAUAUUGGAGAUUAUAUAUUGCAGUGACUUACAGUAGCCAAGUAGUUUGGUUAGAUAGGAAGAUCGGCACCCUCAUAACCUAUCAAAGAAACCUGUCAAUACUCUUUCUGCUGAGUCUCGGAUGACUGCUCCCUAUCCUGCCUCAUAACCUGUGCCAAAAAUUGUACUGUCCAUAUUGUAUUUCUAGACCCCAGGCGAUGGAGCUUCUCACAGCAGGGACCUUGACUUGGUGAGCGAGAGUUGUACCUUGCCUCUGUCUCUAACUUAAUGUGCCUUUCUCCGUUCAUGCAAAAACUUCCUCGUUAGAAAGAUGGAGGUCUAAUCACCAAACAUCCUUCAAGUCUAU